GUUAAAAAGCUCGUAGUUGGAUUUCGGAGUGGGCCAGUUGGUCCGCCGCAAGGUGUGUUACUGACUGGUCUGCUCUUCUUCGCAAAGACUGCGUGUGCUCUUUGUUGAGUGUGCGUAGGAUUUACGACGUUUACUUUGAAAAAAUUAGAGUGUUCAAAGCAGGCUAUUGCUUGAAUACAUGAGCAUGGAAUAAUGGAAUAGGACUUUGGUCCCAUUUUGUUGGUUUCUAGGACCGAAGUAAUGAUUAAGAGGGACAAUUGGGGGCAUCCGUAUUUCGUUGUCUGAGGUGAAAUUCUUGGAUUUACGAAGACA
rnacentral:rRNA from 1 species